UUUUAACACGAAGUGAGUGGCGAACGGGUGAGUAACACGUGGGUAACCUGCCCAGAAGUAGGGGAUAACACCUGGAAACAGAUGCUAAUACCGUAUAACAGAGAAAACCGCAUGGUUUUCUUUUAAAAGAUGGCUCUGCUAUCACUUCUGGAUGGACCCGCGGCGUAUUAGCUAGUUGGUGAGGUAAAGGCUCACCAAGGCAGUGAUACGUAGCCGACCUGAGAGGGUAAUCGGCCACAUUGGGACUGAGACACGGCCCAGACUCCUACGGGAGGCAGCAGUAGGGAAUCUUCCACAAUGGACGCAAGUCUGAUGGAGCAACGCCGCGUGAGUG
rnacentral:rRNA from 1 species